AACGUAGGUACCGAGCGUUAUCCGGAUUUACUGGGCGUAAAGCGUGUUCAGGCGGCCGCGCAAGUCGGGCAUGAAAUCUCUCGGCUCAACCGGGGAACUGCGUCCGAUACUGUCUGGCUCGAGUCCUGGAGAGGGUAGUGGAAUUCCCAGUGUAGCGGUGAAAUGCGUAGAGAUCAGGAGGAACACCUGUGGUGUAGACAGCUUACUGGACGAUAACUGACGCUGAGGCACGAAAGCGUGGGUAGCAAACAGG
rnacentral:rRNA from 1 species